rnacentral:lncRNA from 1 species
UAGAAGCUUACUCAUGUACGCUCCUUCUCAUGCAAGAAGACGUACUCAAUUUCUACUCUCUUCUAUCAGUCUCCUCACUCCUGUCUCUCAUGUCUCCUUUUCCUCCCACCGUUCCUGUCACCCACGCAGCACGCCGGAGCAGCUGUAGCAGUCGAGCUCGGCAUCAGCUCCCUUGCUGCUCACUUUGCAGCACCUCGCCAGCUCCCUGGUAACACUCUGCACCUGCCGUCGAACUCUCUCAGGUUCGGUCAUCCCUGCUCCCUUCCAAAUCAACGCCCCUCCACUCGACUCUACUACUGUGUCGUGCGCGCGCUUCCUCCUGCUUCCGUCGCUGGGUGCGUGCUCAUCUUCCGUCGCGUGCCACCUGGUCGAUAGAAUGAGCAGUUUGGUCGUCCCCAUCUCGCCGUGGUUCGUCCUCACCAUGUUUUCAGAUGUGUUUGGGCUGAGAUGCCAUUCGAAAUCGAUGAUCUGUUCGUCGCCACCGGCCGCAAGCACCAGUUUUGUUGAACGUGAGAACGUCUUAAUCUGUUGAUAUGAGUUGAAAAUUGAUGUGUCGAUCUGUGGUUUGACCUAGUGUUCUCGUCAUGUCUAUGUUCUGGUCGAGGCCCUAGAUACGUGAUUGAAGAUCCUUUGUGGUGAUGAAGGUGAAAUCAGCAUAGCACUCGCCAAGCGUUCUACAGAAGGUCUGGACGAGAGAACCAUGUUGUUUCACGUUUUGUUGAGUCGGGUUGGAUUAGGGUGAGCUGAUUCAUUGCUCUGGCUAUUAGGUCUAAUUAAUAGGAUUGGAUUUUAGAAAUAAAAGUGCAGUGCCAAAAAAAUUAUGGCAAUUUUUGAAUAACCUUGUUUUGGUCAUUUAAGCACUUGGUAAAAUUUGGAGGCUAUUUGGAAAUCCUUUGCUUAGAAAGCCUUGUAAAGUCACAAAUAGGAUGGAUUAAUCCCUUUGGAAAAGAUGAAGUAAGUUUAUGGAUGAAAACUCAUGUGUUCUAGUCCCUUGGUAGUCAUAGUUUAUGGGUGUAGUCUGGUAAUGCUUUUUAAUAUUUUUUUGUUGCAAACUGCAUAAACAUAAGCAUCCAUGAUCAUAUCAUUUCAUACAGAGCCCUCAACAGAAGGAGUGAAGAUUCAAGAUGAAGUGGUAGCUGAAGAGGAGUUUGCUCUAGUGCCUGUUCAUCAAGUGGAUGUAGCCAUCUAACUGAUCAUCAUGGUAGAAGUAUCUAGAACCUCUUCUCUGCAACAAAGGCAAGCCCCGGUGCAUUUGCCCCUUCCUUGUGUUUUAAAUGCUUUAUCACCUUAAAUGAUGCAUUAGGUGAUAGGAGUUGUGUGAUGAACAAUUGAUGCAUUACCAUUACUUGGAAUUUGAAUACUAUACCUUGAUCCCUGAUUUAUAAAAAGAACUGAUAAUGCUUAACCCUGCUUAGAAACUGAAAAAUCAUUUGUUUUCAAAAAGAAUGAUUGUGGAACAUUGGUUAUGGGCUUUUUGAUUAAAAAAUCAAAGCAAACUAAGGUGAUGACUCCACUUCGGCCGGAGUGGGCUCAUCAUUGGAAAAGAGUACCCCUGCCGGGUACCAAAAAUGGGGAAAUGGUUAAUAAAUCUAGACCAGGCGCUGAGCAGACAGAGUCGCCCGUCUGUGUCGAUUAAGGACCGUACCGUUGACUGGCCUGUUGUGGUUGAGACUUUGCAACUAGCCACAUACCCUGGUAUGGGACAGGGUAAGCUUGAACCCGGCUAUUCCAUACGUAAAGAGACAAUCGCGCACUGGGAGUGGAGAGAUGGCGGGAGUAGCAUGUACCCUCCUGGCAUAGUAGCACGCUUGAUAGGGUAAUGUGCUCUCGGGUGGCGCGGACCUGUUCAUGUAGUGGAGGACUCCGUGGGAACAGUUGACAUAUGCAAGGGUUAAGUGCUACAUAUGUCGUGUGGUUAGAGAUCCCCAGCUGGGUAUAAUCGGUUCGAAUCGUCGUUGCUUCUCGGUUAUGGAGACUCAUCCCGGUGACCAUCAUCGUAGUUAGCAAGUGAAAUAUGAGAAUGAAUAAAAUGGAGCUAGUAUAGGCCAAGUGCUUGAACUAGAUCAGGCAAAUAUAGAUUCAGGUAAUAACCUAACUAGUGAAAUAAAACUUAGCUUAAGGAUCAACUGGUAGCAAGCUUUUCUGCAAAAAAGGAUCCUUUGAUCAUUGAUAAACUUUACCUUGACUCCCAAUCAGCUAGCAUACCCUUGAGAGUCUUUUCUUUAGUCGGGUAAGUCUUGCUGAGUAAUUGCGUACUCAGGGUUUUAUCCCCUAUUGUUUUUGCAGGAGAAGUUUUAUUCCCUUAUCUUUUGGUUAGUUACUUCAUGUGGAGGCCUUGAAGCUUAGAAUGUUUAUGUGUAUCUCUUAUGGAAAGGCUUCACCCUUCCUAUUAUUGUAAUAAAUUAUGCACUUUGGGUACUAUCAGGACUUGUAAUAAAUACAUCUCUUUCUACCUUGUAAAACUUGAGUUCUGGAAUGUAAAGUGUACUUUGUAAAAGUCUUCCGCUCUAUCUCCAAUGUGUGUGUAUCAAAUGUGAUUACUGUAAUAUA